GGCCUGGUGGAGCCCUCGCAGACCCUCUCCCUCACCUGUGCUGUCUCUGGAUUUUCCAUCACAACCAGUGUUUCCUGCUGGAGCUGGAUCCACGAGUCCACAUGGGAAGGACUGGAGUGGACCAGGCGCACACGUCAUGAAGGGAGCAAAAAUUCCCACCCACUCCUUAUGAAUCCAGUCACCAUCUCCAAAUUCGGGUCCAAAAAACACUUGUUUUUACAGUGGAGCUAUGUGAGCAACAAGCUCACAGCCAUGU
rnacentral:lncRNA from 1 species